rnacentral:rRNA from 1 species
CCUACGGGUGGCAGCAGUAGGGAAUCUUCCACAAUGGGCGCAAGCCUGAUGCAGCAACACCGCGUGAGUGAAGAAGGGUUUCGGCUCGUAAAGCUCUGUUGUUGGAGAAGAACGUGCGUGAGAGUAACUGUUCACGCAGUGACGGUAUUCAAUCAGAAAGUCACGGCUAACUACGUGCCAGCAGCCGCGGUAAUACGUAGGUGGCAAGCGUUAUCCGGAUUGAUUGGGCGUAAAGGGAGCGCAGGCGGUCGCUUAGGUCUGAUGUGAAAGCCUUCGGCUUAACCGAAGAAGUGCAUCGGAAACCGGGCGACUUGAGUGCAGAAGAGGAAGGUGGAAUUCCAAGUGGAGCGGUGGAAUGCGUAGAUAUAUGGAAGAACACCAGUGGCGAAGGCGGCUGUCUGGACUGCGACUGACGCUGAGGCUCGAAAGCAUGGGUAGCGAACAGGAUUAGAUACCCGGGUAGUC